AUUGAACGCUGGCGGCAUGCCUUACACAUGCAAGUCGAACGGUAACGGGCCUUCGGGUGCCGACGAGUGGCGAACGGGUGAGUAAUGUAUCGGAACGUACCUUUCAGUGGGGGAUAACGUAGCGAAAGUUACGCUAAUACCGCAUAUUCUGUGCGCAGGAAAGCAGGGGAUCGCAAGACCUUGCGCUGAUUGAGCGGCCGAUAUCAGAUUAGCUAGUUGGUGAGGUAAAGGCUCACCAAGGCGACGAUCUGUAGCGGGUCUGAGAGGAUGAUCCGCCACACUGGAACUGAGACACGGGCCAGACUCCUACGGGAGGCAGCAGUGGGGAAUUUUGGACAAUGGGGGCAACCCUGAUCCAGCCAUGCCGCGUGAGUGAAGAAGGCCUUCGGGUUGUAAAGCUCUUUCGGCCGGGAAGAAAUCGCAUGGGCUAAUACCCUGUGCGGAUGACGGUACCGGCAUAAGAAGCACCGGCUAACUACGUGCCAGCAGCCGCCGUAACAC
rnacentral:rRNA from 1 species